UGCAAUUAUUGAUCUUCAACGAGGAAUUCCUAGUAAGCGCGAGUCAUCAGCUCGCGUUGACUACGUCCCUGCCCUUUGUACACACCGCCCGUCGCUCCUACCGAUUGAAUGGUCCGGUGAAGUUUUCGGAUUGCGGCGAUGCCGGCGGUUCGCCGCCGGUGACGUUGGGAGAAGUUCAUUAAACCUUAUCAUUUAGAGGAAGGAGAAGUCGUAACAAGGUUUCCGUAGGUGAACCUGCGGAAGGAUCAUUG
rnacentral:ncRNA from 1 species